rnacentral:rRNA from 1 species
CCUACGGGAGGCAGCAGUGGGGAAUAUUGCACAAUGGGGGAAACCCUGAUGCAGCGACGCCGCGUGAGUGAAGAAGUAUUUCGGUAUGUAAAGCUCUAUCAGCAGGGAAGAAAUAGCCACCUUUUGGUCGCCAAACGGUACCUGACUAAGAAGCACCGGCUAACUACGUGCCAGCAGCCGCGGUAAUACGUAGGGGGCAAGCGUUAUCCGGAUUUACUGGGUGUAACGGAAGCGUAGACGGCAGCGCAAGUCUGAAGUGAAAGGCCGGGGCUUAACCCCGGAACUGCUUUGGAAACUGUGCAGCUAGAGUGCAGGAGAGGUAAGUGGAAUUCCUAGUGUAGCGGUGAAAUGCGUAGAUAUUAGGAGGAACACCAGUGGCGAAGGCGGCUUACUGGACUGUAACUGACGUUGAGGCUCGAAAGCGUGGGGAGCAAACAGGAUUAGAUACCCGAGUAGUC